ensembl:lncRNA
UCGGCCGUGGAACCGCUCCUCCCCAGCUCCGCUCAGCGCCCGGCGGGAGAAGAGAGGGCAGAGAGGCGGCCCUAAACAGCGGAGGCACCGAUUCUGCAAGGCGUUAGGAAUGCCCUCGGCCGAAGGAACGGCGGCGGAGCGCCAUGGGGUGCAGGAGCUGCUGCCUGCCCCGCUGUGCCGCUCUGUGACCGCCUGCCUUACAGGUCUGACGGCGGGGGAGCGCUGCUGUUUUACCAACCCCAGCAGAGGGAGAAAUGUCUAGAAAGAAAGAAGGAAAUGGUUUAAAGGGCCUCCGAGCACCUCAGCAGCACUGCCCGGCCCCAGCGCACAGCUCUGCAGGGAUGGGUAAGGCCGUAGGGUUACAGUGCGUGGGUUUUACCUACCGUAAAGGUAGCAGACCAUGUAAACCACGUAAGAGUGGAGCCGGGAGGCAUCGGUCCAAAGGAGACCGACCUGAAACAGUUAACAGCAGUGGUUUUACGCAACAGGUAACAUUCCUGAAACUUGUUGCCACAGGAGCAGAGAGCGGCGAAUGGGCUCUGCAGGGCUGAGGCUGGCUGUGAGCCGUGCCGUGCCCGCAGCCUGGAGCCGAAGGGGACACGGCGCCGUACGGGUGCCGGGGCAGUAAGAACGGAGCAGACCAUGGAAGCGGCCGCUGCCCCACAGCCGUGCCCCGCGCACUGCCGGAGCCAGGAGAGCCCCGGGCCUCAGCCCCCAACCACAGCGCAGCUAUAGGACCCUCAGAGCUGCAAUAUCAUCUCUGCUUCCGAACCCGUUUUCCCUUCAGCUCCCGGAGGACUGGAGCAUGCCUUGUUUUUGCCACCACAUAAAGGGGUGAUGUUUGCAGGCUGCUGAGCUGGGAUAAUUCGCUGCCCCUCCUCCAGAGCACAGCCACAGAACCAGAGCUGCGUGUCAGAACCAACAUGAGCCCAAACGCCGUCUGAUCUGCAAACAGAGCCCUUUGUGAUCACACACAGGCAAAAGUCAAUCCUCAUCCUUACAAAGGAAACCAUAUUUUCAAGCAAAAUCCACGAGAUUUGAAAUUCUUUAGUUACGACCCCGUGAAAAACAGUGUCCAAAGGCACCAUUUUUCCUUGCAAAGGAAGCUGCAACACAUUGCGUUAAUGAUAUGAGCAUUUAAUCUGGAAAAAGCCAUCUAUCUGAUGGCUAUUUUUACAGGCCCACACAGAUAAACUUCAGGCGAUGUCCUACAUGCUAAACAUGACUCUUACUGGCAGCAGCAGGUUUGUGUCAGUCAUGCCUACGCUGGGAGCUUCCCUCCAUGGUAAUCCUCGUGGGAAGGAGCGGAGGGGAAAACCUCACACAGGUGAGCAGAACCAGAGUUUGCAUCCACACCGACUGCAAAGAUUGGCACUUCAGGAUGCUGGCAUGGAUGAAGCAGAGGAGAGAUCACCUCCAUGAAGAAUGCAAACUGCUUCACAUGCUAAUGGAACAGCAACUGGAUAAAUAAUACAGAAAAGCAACUCUAAAGAACUUGCUGAAUCUGGGCCCACUGCUCAGCCUGUAUAGGCCUCUCUGGAUAGCAUCCCAUCCCUCAGGCAAGCACCACACAGCUUGGUGUCAUCCGCAAACUGCUAAGGGUGCACUUGAUCCCACUGUUGAUGUAAUCAAUGAGGAUGUUAAAGAGCACCGGUCCCACACUGAACCCUGAGAGACUGCAGCUUCUGUCACUUGAGUUGUCUCUUUCUUGACUGAAGAAUUCUAGCCUCAUCAUCUGCUUCUCAUACUGGUCAACCCAGGGAUUUACACAGAAUUACAGCAAGGGUUGUCUCAAUUACAGCAAGGGCUGUCUCUCCUCUUGCUGACUUUCUGAUCAGUUGUUCCAUAUGAGUCACUGAUAUCAUCUAAAAAAUAAGUAUCAAAAAGCUUAGUCUCUGCAUCUUGUCUUGUUAAAUUUCAGGCAGCUUCUACUUCAAGUUUCUAAAAAGGUCAUCUUACAUAACUUGUAUUACUUCACUGUAACCAAAAGUCAUUUCAUUUGUAAAUUAGUUUUACUAUAGAUCAACUGCAAUGAGUUGAACAUCUUCCCUGUUUCAUGUAAUGGCUGCCAAACUCAUCUCUGAAGAAAAAGCUACUAGAAGUAAUUUCAAAACAAAGACAUCUUAGAUUCAGUGUUAGGAAGGAAGGAAUAUUUCAAAUGCUGUACUUUUGCUAAGCGAAACAUUUCCUGUGGUUAACUGAAUGUAGGUGUCAAGUUAUGCUUACCGACUUCUAUGUACUAAACUCAGCAAACUGUUAUACCAAGAACUUGCUUCCAAAUGUGAAAAACCCAAGAGGAAAAAUAAAGUUCCUACUACUCAC